UGGGUUCUAAAAGAAUCGUCCUGCCGAAG
rnacentral:piRNA from 1 species